GAUGAACGCUGGCGGCGUGCCUAAUACAUGCAAGUCGAGCGAGCGGCGGACGGGUGAGUAAUGUCUGGGAAACUGCCUGAUGGCGGGGGAUAACUACUGGAAACGGUAGCUAAUACCGCAUACCAUCAGAUGUGCCCAGAUGGGAUUAGCUAGUAGGUGGGGUAAUGGCUCACCUAGGCGACGAUCCCUAGCUGGUCUGAGAGGAUGACCAGCCACACUGGAACUGAGACACGGUCCAGACUCCUACGGGAGGCAGCAGUGGGGAAUAUUGCACAAUGGGCGCAAGCCUGAUGCAGCCAUGCCGCGUGUGUGAAGAAGGCCUUCGGGUUGUAAAGCACUGUCAGCGAGGAGGCGUUACUCGCAGAAGAAGCACCGGCUAACUCCGUGCCAGCAGCCGCGGUAAUAC
rnacentral:rRNA from 1 species